UACGGGGGGGGCAAGCGUUGUUCGGAAUUACUUGGCGUAAAGGGCUCGUAGGCGGCCAACUAAGUCAAACGUGAAAUCCCUCGGCUUAACCGGGGAACUGCGUCUGAUACUGGAUGGCUUGAGUUUGGGAGAGGGAUGCGGAAUUCCAGGUGUAGCGGUGAAAUGCGUAGAUAUCUGGAGGAACACCGGUGGCGAAGGCGGCAUCCUGGACCAACACUGACGCUGAGGAGCGAAAGCCAGGGGAGCAAACGGG
rnacentral:rRNA from 1 species